UACGACGGCGCCUGGUGCGAUUUAUGCGCCCGGAAGCCCUUUCAGCCUCCAGGCAUGUCCCCACCUGCCUCACAGCCGCCGACGCAUCUCACGGCGGGGUUCUAAUUGCGUGCGCGUAUGGAUGCUCCUUAACCCACCGCCUUUCGAACAACUAGAAAUGUUAUGAUGUAUCGUUGGUCCGGCGUACGACGGCGCCUGGUGCGAUUUAUGCGCCCGGAAGCCCUUUCAGCCUCCAGGCAUGUCCCCACCUGCCUCACAGCCACCGACGCAUCUCACGGCGGGGUUCUAAUGAGGUGCGCGUAUGGAUGCUCCUUAACCCACCGCCUUUCGAACAACUAGAAAUGUUAUGAUGUAUCGUUGGUCCGGCGUACGACGGCGCCUGGUGCGAUUUAUGCGCCCGGAAGCCCUUUCAGCCUCCAGGCAUGUCCCCACCUGCCUCACAGCCACCGACGCAUCUCACGGCGGGGUUCUAAUGAGGUGCGCGUAUGGAUGCUCCUAUUCCACCGCCUUUCGAACAACUAGAAAUGUUAUGAUGUAUCGUUGGUCCGGCGUACGACGGCGCCUGGUGCGAUUUAUGCGCCCGGAAGCCCUUUCAGCCUCCAGGCAUGUCCCCACCUGCCUCACAGCCACCGACGCAUCUCACGGCGGGGUUCUAAUGAGGUGCGCGUAUGGAUGCUCCUAUUCCACCGCCUUUCGAACAACUAGAAAUGUUAUGAUGUAUCGUUGGUCCGGCGUACGACGGCGCCUGGUGCGAUUUAUGCGCCCGGAAGCCCUUUCAGCCUCCAGGCAUGUCCCCACCUGCCUCACAGCCACCGACGCAUCUCACGGCGGGGUUCUAAUUGCGUGCGCGUAUGGAUGCUCCUAUUCCUGCCGCCUUUCUAGCAACUAGUUAUGUUAUUAUGCAUCGUUGGUCCGGCGUACGACGGCGCCUGGUGCGAUUUAUGCGUCCGGAAGCCCUUUCAGCCUCACAGGCAUGUCCCCACCUGCCUCACAGCCGCUGACGCAUCUCACGGCGGGGGUCUAAUUGCGUGCGCGUAUGGAUGCUCCUAUUCCUGCCGCCUUUCUAACAGCUAGUUACUGUUAUGAUGCAUCGUUGGUCCGGCGUACGACGGCGCCUGGUGCGAUUUAUGCGUCCGGAAGCCCUUUCAGCCUCACAGGCAUGUCCCCACCUGCCUCACAGCCGCCGACGCAUCUCACGGCGGGGGUCUAAUUGCGUGCGCGUAUGGAUGCUCCUAUUCCUGCCGCCUUUCUAGCAACUAGUUAUGUUAUGAUGCAUCGUUGGUCCGGCGUACGACGGCGCCUGGUGCGAUUUAUGCGCCCGGAAGCCCUUUCAGCCUCCAGGCAUGUCCCCACCUGCCUCACAGCCACCGACGCAUCUCACGGCGGGGUUCUAAUUGCGUGCGCGUAUGGAUGCUCCUAUUCCACCGCCUUUCGAACAACUAGAAAUGUUAUGAUGUAUCGUUGGUCCGGCGUACGACGGCGCCUGGUGCGAUUUAUGCGCCCGGAAGCCCUUUCAGCCUCCAGGCAUGUCCCCACCUGCCUCACAGCCACCGACGCAUCUCACGGCGGGGUUCUAAUGAGGUGCGCGUAUGGAUGCUCCUUAACCCACCGCCUUUCGAACAACUAGAAAUGUUAUGAUGUAUCGUUGGUCCGGCGUACGACGGCGCCUGGUGCGAUUUAUGCGCCCGGAAGCCCUUUCAGCCUCCAGGCAUGUCCCCACCUGCCUCACAGCCACCGACGCAUCUCACGGCGGGGUUCUAAUUGCGUGCGCGUAUGGAUGCUCCUAUUCCUGCCGCCUUUCUAGCAACUAGUUAUGUUAUUAUGCAUCGUUGGUCCGGCGUACGACGGCGCCUGGUGCGAUUUAUGCGUCCGGAAGCCCUUUCAGCCUCACAGGCAUGUCCCCACCUGCCUCACAGCCGCUGACGCAUCUCACGGCGGGGGUCUAAUGAGGUGCGCGUAUGGAUGCUCCUAUUCCUGCCGCCUUUCUAACAGCUAGUUACUGUUAUGAUGCAUCGUUGGUCCGGCGUACGACGGCGCCUGGUGCGAUUUAUGCGUCCGGAAGCCCUUUCAGCCUCACAGGCAUGUCCCCACCUGCCUCACAGCCGCCGACGCAUCUCACGGCGGGGGUCUAAUUGCGUGCGCGUAUGGAUGCUCCUAUUCCUGCCGCCUUUCUAGCAACUAGUUAUGUUAUGAUGCAUCGUUGGUCCGGCGUACGACGGCGCCUGGUGCGAUUUAUGCGCCCGGAAGCCCUUUCAGCCUCCAGGCAUGUCCCCACCUGCCUCACAGCCACCGAC
rnacentral:lncRNA from 1 species